UCCUACGGGAGGCAGCAGUGGGGAAUAUUGGACAAUGGGGGCAACCCUGAUCUAGCCAUGCCGCGUGUGUGAAGAAGGCCCUCGGGUUGUAAAGCACUUUCAGCGAGGAAGAACGCCUAGCGGUUAAUACCCGCUAGGAAAGACAUCACUCGCAGAAGAAGCACCGGCUAACUCCGUGCCAGCAGCCGCGGUAAUACGGAGGGUGCAAGCGUUAAUCGGAAUUACUGGGCGUAAAGCGCGCGUAGGUGGCUUGAUAAGCCGGUUGUGAAAGCCCCGGGCUCAACCUGGGAACGGCAUCCGGAACCGUCAAGCUAGAGUGCAGGAGAGGAAGGUAGAAUUCCCGGUGUAGCGGUGAAGUGCGUAGAGAUCGGGAGGAAUACCAGUGGCGAAGGCGGCCUUCUGGACUGACACUGACACUGAGGUGCGAAAGCGUGGGUAGCAAACAGGAUUAGAUACCCUGGUAGUCCACGCCGUAAACGAUGUCGACCAGCCGUUGGGUGCCUAGCGCACUUUGUGGCGAAGUUAACGCGAUAAGUCGACCGCCUGGGGAGUACGGCCGCAAGGUUAAAACUCAAAUGAAUUGACGG
rnacentral:rRNA from 1 species